CGGUUGGGUAGCCUGCAAUCCCUGGGAAUUCCCCAGUUGGUGGAGCUACAUUAUAUUCACUGCCUCCCACAGGUGGGAAGCCUCCAGGCACCGCAGGGUAAGAAUACUGGCUAGCGGGUGGAUAAACAGACUCCUGUCCUGAUAACCAGGAAAAGAUGGGUAGCCAGAUGGAGGAUAUCCUGGGUAGGACAUUCUGUAAAGUGGCUACGAAACUCGGCGUCCCCUCCGGCCACCGACGCUCUCGGGACGAAGAGCAAAAUGGAGACGGGCGAGGCGAGCCUGUUUCCGCCCCUUUCCUGCUCCGUAGGGCAGGGAACGUUUUCGCCCCGCCUGCCCCGCCGGCCUUCCGCCUUCCUCUGGGCCACCGGGGAGGCCAAAAGCGGAGGAGCCUCCGGAAGGACGGACUUCGGCAUCGGCCGCGCAUCCUUCGCCCUCCUCGGCCCGGAUGCUCAUCGGGCGCCGCUCCUUGAGCUUUAGCCUCCCUCGCUCCCUUCGAAGGAGCGCGGCGCUGCCGCAAAGGCUCUUUCGGGGAAAAACGCGCGGGCUGGAUCGGGAGUCAACCCUGUGGCCUAGGCCCUGUCCGCCCACGUC